UUCACUUUCCCCAGCCACAGCUCUCUCUUCCCUCCCCCACCUAUAUUUUUGGAGGAUGCAGCCUAAAGGAAAAGUGAAAGUCACCAGCCUUUGUUUUGACUGCGGAGAAAAACAGCCCUGUUGGGGUUCACAGCCAAUGGCCCACACCUCGGGACCACGAGCAACAAGACUCGGCCUCUGAAUGGGAGUGUGCUAAGAAAUGGGAUCCUAAAGACAUCUGGAAAUAGCAGUGAACCUGUGGGUACAGCCUGGACCAGACUAAGCAUCUGCCCCUCUGCCUGCUCUGUUCCACCCCCACCAGAUCGCAACAGUGGCUCCCCAAAGACUAUGCUGAAAGGAGGAGAUGCAUGUGCAGUGCCCAGUACAAAAUUCAAGUAUCUCCAGAAGAGUAAACGGGAGGAGAUGGAGGCCUAAGAAUUUGCCCUCGUGGGACCAAGGAUGCAGAGCACAUUUGCAAUGGAGCUGAAUAAUUCACAGUUUGGGAGCUGUAAGGGAAAAUGUGACCCCCUUCUGCUCCUGUAUUUCUAAACUCCCACAUGUCAAUCCUCUGGAACAACUCUUAUGCCAGAAACUAGAUGAACCAGUUUGGCUCAGGCUAUCACUUGGAUAACUACAAUUAAAAACCAGAUACAGAGGGCAAACAAACAUCUGUUGGGGGCCUUAUCUACAGAGGGCCCUCGACUUUGUCUUGGCAAUUAGCACUCUGUGGUGAUUAUAAUCCCCACUAAUUUAUUAAUUUAUUGCUUCAGACCUGGUAAAGAUCUCAUAUGUUUAUUGUUGCCAUGACUUUGUGCCUUCUCCAGCCAAAGAAUAACUAGGCUUCCAAUACUGUGCUUUGAACAAAAGAUUUGACUGGAAACUGACAGGAUAAUGCCAGAGUGUCAUGUGUUUGUUUAGGUUGCAUGCUGUUGAUUUCUGAACAACCUGGUAUAGACCCCUGUAAGCAGCUAAAUUACAACAGAGAUGAAAAAGUUUCUUCACUUUGGACCUUCUCACAUCACUGGUUUUAACUCUGCUGGUGUGCUUGUUCCUAUGACUUCAUUAACAGACAAAUCCUGAUACAUCAAAACCAACGUAAGAACUUCUUGUGACUUCAGGGUAGUGCUGAAUUUGGUUCUCUGGCACUGAGUGCUUAGGCCUGGUCUACACUACAAAGUCAGGUCAAUGUAAGUCAUCUUGCAUCAGCCUCUUUGAGUAUGUGUCUAUAUUCAAAUUUGUCUCUGGCUGAUGUAAGUGCCCCACUACAGCGACACAGUAAAAACACCUGCCCAAACUGCGGAGAGCCAUGGUUGACCUACUGAGGUCAAUGCAGAGUAAGCGUAGCCACUGUAUGACCUGUGUUGAUUCCAACAACCUCCACCAGCUGUCCCAAUGGACAGUGACCAUCCUGGUUAUAUUUUUAAUCUCCGCUGCCUAUGGGUCACAGAGACCGGAAACCACACACCCCCAUUUAACUCCCCCUGCGUGCUUUUGAAAUGCCUCUUCCUGAUUGCCCAGCUUGGCAAGCACACACAGCAGCUCACCUUUGUUACAUGCAGUUGCCUUGCCUAGCUCCCUAUGCCAGCUCCACGCGCACAGAGGUACAAGAUACAGUCCUGCCUGGAGUAGACAAAAAGUAUUGGAUUUCCUGGGCACAGCUAUGGACCAGCUGUAGAAACAUGGACAUCUACGAGCAGACUGCAUAGGGGGUGCAGAGAAAGGGUUAUGACAGGGGUCAGCAGCAGUGCUGUGUGAAUGCGAAGGAACUUUAACAGGGAUAUCACAAGGCCAGGGAGGCCUAUGAUGGAUCUGGUGCUGCGCCACAGACCUACCGCUUCUACAAGGAACUGCAUGCCAUCCGUGGUGGAGACCUCACCAGCAACCCACAGACCACUGUGGAUACCUCAUGGGAUCCCGAGACCCCAGCUGUGAACGGCGAGAAGGAGGAUGAGGAGGAUGGGGUGGGGGAAACAGGAUGCUGUGAGCCAGGACCUGUUUGCAGCUCCACCAAAGUCUAGCAAGUUCUACCAAGCAAGCACAGAUGAGCCUACUGAAGGGGAAGAGAACUCAGCUUUUGGCAGGGUAGCCUUGAGAGGUGCCCCCUCCUCGCCAGCAGAACACCUGACCCUGAAGAGGAGGAGAAAGAAAAGAAUGAGGGAGGACAUGAUUUGUGAGAUCCUGCAUGCCAGUGCUUCAUCAGACCAUGAACAAAGGGCUUGGAGAGCCACCGUGACCAACAGCAUGGAAAAGGAAAGAGAGUACAAGAAAGAGGCCUCGGGAGUUGCAGCGGGAAAUGUAGCUAAUGUAAUAGGUCUUUAGUGCUCAAGUAGCAAACUCAAGUGCUGCAGGCCCUGAUUGACCUACCAGUCCAAAAAUCCCAGACCUGCCCACCCUUUGCAGUCCUUGGAGAAUUCCAUGGUCACUGCUCCCUGCACCUCCUAAUAUACCACAUGGCUUCACAGGGCACAUCCUUACCCCUUCCACUCCAUGCCAGGGACAGUAAGGAAAACCACAGCUUUACAUACACUGACCUGUGAACACCAUGGCAGGUGUGUGUGUAGCCACACUGGACUAUGCUUGUUUCCUCAACUGGACACACAUGUUUACUUCCUUUUAUAAUUUUAAACUUUCACCCCAUUAAGUUAAAAACUUGUGUAAUAGGGCCUAUGUGAUUUUUGGCUUUUGCACAUUGAUUUUCUACAGCGUUGUUUCUUUUUUUCCCCACUCAACAAGGGUUUUUUGGAGAAUUAAAUUAACUCUAUUAGAGCAGGUCUUCACUACCUGCUGGAUCAGCAGGUAGUGAUCAGUCUGUCAGGGAUUGAUUUAUCGCGUCUCGUCUAGACACGAUAAAUCGAUCCCCGAAUGCGCUCCCCUUUGACUCCGGAACUCCAGCUCGCGAGAAGCGGAAGCGGAGUCGAUGGGGGAGCAGCAGGUAAGUUGACCUAAGAUAUGCCAACUUCAGCUACACUAUUCAAAGUUGUGUAUCUUAGGUCGACCCCCCCUCCGCCCUCCCCACCAGUGUAGACUAGGGCAAAGUUCACAACAAACAUUGCAGAAUGCAGAGUUUGCAAAAAAUGCAAAGCAGACAGUAUUUGUAAAUGCAUGCUGAGCAUCAUAGAAUUCAUAACUACUGCAAAACACCCAGUCAUAUUCACAAAUGUAAUGUAAGCACUACAAGCAGCAUGUAAAGUUCUAGGCCGGGGGUGGGUAAACUUUUUGGCCUGAGGGCCACACCUGGGUAUGGAAAUUGUAUGGUGGGCCAUGAAUGCUCACAAAAUUGGGGUUGGGAGGGGGAGAGAAUGAGGGCUCUGGCUGGGGGUGUGGGCUCUGGGAUGGGGCCAGAAAUGAGUUCAGGGUACAGGAGGGGGCCCUGUGCUGGGGCAGGAGGGGUAGGGUAUGGGGGGGGAUGAGGGCUCCAGCGGGGGUGUGGCUCUGAGGUGGGGCUGGGGAUGAGAGGUUUGGGGUGCAGGAGGGUGCUCCGGGCUGGGACUGAGGGGUUUGGAGGUGGAGAGAGGGAUCAGGGCUGGGGUAGGGGGUUGGGACACGGGGGAGGGGGUGAGGGCUCCGGCUGGGGUGCAGGCUCUGGGGUGGGGCUGGGGAUGAGGGGUUUGGGGUGCAGGAGGGGUUCGGAGGGCAGGAGCGGGAUCAGGGCUGGGUCAGGGGGUUGGGGCAUGGUGAGAGGUUCAGGGGUGCAGGCUCCAGGCAGCACUUACCUCAAGCGGGUCCCAGAAGUAGCGGCAUGUUUCCCUCUGGCUCCUACACGGAGGCGCGGCCAGGCAUCUCUGCUGCAUGCUGCCCUGUCCACAGGCACCACCCCUGCAGCUCCCAUUGGCUGCGGUUUCUGGCCAGUGGGAGCUGUGGGGGCGGCGCUUGGGACAGGGGCAGCAUGUGGAGCAGAGCUCUCUGGCUGCCCCUGUGCGUAGGAGCUGGAGGGGGGACAUGCUGCUGCUUCCGAGAGCAGCACGGAGUGGCCCCCGAUCCUGCUUCCCAGCUGGAGCACCAGAGCAGGGCAAGCCCCAGAUCCUGCUCCCCAGUGGGAACUUGAGGGCCUGAUUAAAAUGGCUGGUGGGCCGGAUGCGGACCCUGGGCCAUAGUUUGCCCACCCCUGCUCUAGGCCCACAGACCACUACUAUGGCUGACAGUUAAAGUGCUGUUUCAAAGCUUCCUUCAACUUCAUGUUUCCAUUGUGGGGUCUUGUAAUGAACCAGGAGUCUGGCUGUUCAAAGUCAGUCAACGGCUGCUUUGCAUCUGCCCUCCACCCUGGUGGCAGUUUUUCCCCCUUGGCCUCAUAGAUAUUAUGCAGGACACAAGAGGCAGCGAUAACCAUUGGGAUAUUUUUCUGACUGAGCUCCGAACUAGUGAGUAGACACUGCCAACAUCCCUUCAAUCUACCAGAAGCACAUUCAACUCUCAUUCUGCACCUGCUGAGCUGGUAAUUGAAUCUUUCCUUGGUGCUGUCCAGGUAGCCAGUGUAUAGCUUCAUGAGCAAGGGGUAGGCUGGAUCCUCUAGCAUCUUUAUUGGCAUUUCAAUAUCACCAGUGGUAAUUCACUGGCCAGGAAAGAAUGUCCCUACUUUCAGAUUUCUGAACAGCCAUGUAUUCUUAAAGAUAUGGGUGUCAUGCAUCUUCCCUGACCAACCAACACUGAUGUUGAUGAAGGAUCCCCAGUGGUUCACCUACACAUGCAAAACCAUAGAAAAGUUCCUUUUCUGUUGUACUGUGUAGGCUGGUGCCAAAAUAGAGAGCUGCAUGCUGUCUGUCACCCCACCACUGUUCAGGAACGCCCAUUGCUGCAAAUCCACCCACUAUGUCCUGCCCAUUGCCAAGUGUCACAGGCCUGCAUAGCAGGACAUAAUUAAUGUUUCUACUCACUUGCACAACAAUGGCCCUACUGUGUAUUUUCCAACUCUAAAAUGAUUUCUCAUUGACCAGUAGCAAUCUGGUAUUGCAAGCUUCCAGCGUGUGAUCGCCACUGGCUUCUCCAUGGUUGAUGCAGCUCUCAUUCUGCUGUCCACGCACUGAAGGGCUCGGGUGAACUCCGUGCACAGAUCCAGUCAUAUGGCCUUGCGCAUCCCAAAGUUCUGCAGCCACUGUGCAUUGUCUCAAACCUGCAUUAUGAUAUGAUUCUGCCAGUCAGUACUUUUUUCUCAGGUCCAGAAGCAGCACUCCAUCCUCUGUAGCUGCUCUGUGAAUGCCACCAAUAAUCUUGAAUUGUUCUUCACUGUGUCCCUCAGCAAACUGUCCUCAAAGAAAUUCUCGUGUUCCUGGUUAUUGUACUUCCUGAAGGUCUUCAAAUGCAGGGGAAGUGUGUGUUCUGUAUUUGCAACAUUCACGAGAACAGCAUCGAGCUCUGCGGACUCUGUGCUUCAGCCAGAGAUGGCAGAGACUGAGAAGUGUCAUGCAAGUUUGCAGGGGGAGGCGUUUGAAAAUUAUGGGCUCUGGAUGGCGUGAUGGGAUGGAGAAAGUUACCUGCUGGGAACUUGACCCCUAGCUCCCAGAGAUCUCUGGGUGAGUCAUUACUAUCCCACAACACAUUGCAAAAAUGGCCCAUAUGGCAUUGCGCCAGAUGGCAGAGCGUGGCACAUUGGAAUACGUUCCCAUAGUGCAUUGCACUUUGCAUCGACACAAGCGUGCCUGGUGAGUAGUCGCAGUGCUGACACAAGCAGCCAGGUAACUGAGCGACAGGCAGACUUUGGCGGCUGUAUGCCGACGUAACUUUAUAGAUAUGUAGAUAUGACCUUCGGUAAGCGCUGGCAAAAGCAGUGGCACUUAGCAAGGCCUUUCCCUGCCCAAAACAAAGUAAAGAUCUGUGCUAAAUUAAAUGUUCCCACGUUCGUUCUUCUAUGGAGUGGCGUUUGCCUUCCGUGAUCCACCCUGUUAACGAGACACCUGGCUGUUGAGUGAAUGCAAACCAUAGAAAGAAGAGCUCCCUAUAGUGACCUUAGGUAAUUAGUGUAGAUGUAAAUAUAACUGGCCAGAUCCUCAUAACAUGCAAAUUGAUGCAGCUCCUUUAACUGUAGUGGAGCUAUGUUAAUAUACGCCAUCUGAGGAUCUAGCUCAGCGGUCGGCAACCUAUGGCACGCCUGCCAAAGACAGCACACGAGCCCAUUUUUAAUGGCACAGGGUGCCGGCAGGCAGCAGGGUGCCAUUAACAAUCCAGCCCUGCUCUGCCUGCUCUUCUCCGCUCCCCGCCCCCUCCCGCGGGGGCAGAGGGCAAGGCGCAGAAGCUUGGUCCUGCCAGCUCCCCUGCCUCUUCCUGCAGUGUGCUGGGUCCCUGCCCCUCCUCUUCCUCCUCCUCUCCCUCCCUGUCCCUGCCCCUGCCGGCUGAUCAGCUGAUGGCCCCUGCCAGAGAGGAGCAGAGUCAGCCUGCUCGCUGCUCCCAGUGGAGGCAGAGAAGAAGCGGGGGCUGGGCCUUGGGGAAGUGGGGCAUAUCCCCUCCAGGCCCCUGCUGUGAGCACCCCACGACCCCAGCCCGCACCCCACGACCCCAGCCCGCACCCCACACCCCCAGCCCUCUGCCCUGACCCCCCCUCACACACACCCAGCCCUUUGCCCUGAGCCCUGCAGCCCCGCACACCCCAAGGCCCCUGCCCUGAGCCCUGUACCCCCUCACACACACCCAGCCCUCUGCUUGGCUCCUGCACCCCCCCCACAACCCCAGCCCUGACUCUGGCACCCCCACACAUACCCAGCCCCUCCACCCCCCACAUCCCCAUCCCCACCCUGAGCACCAAAUGGGAGCUCGUGCACCUCCCCCCCACAUUCCCACCUGCACCCCUCCCACCAAAUGGGAGCUGCCCAGGUAAGCACUCCACACCCAAACCUCCUGCCCCAACCCUGAGCCCCCUCCCUCAUUCUAGCUCCUGGCCAGACCCUGCACCCUAACCCCAGUCUGCUCCUUCACACCCAGCCCUGUGCUCAGUGCAGAGAGAGAUGAAGAGAAUGGCCAGAACUAGGGAGAAGGUAAGUUGGGCCAGGACCUCAGACCGGCAGUGGGUUGAGCGGGACCGGCAGCCGCGAUCCCGGCUGGCAGGAGCUGGCAGACGGAACCCCUGAGUAGCAGCAGGCUGAGCCGCUCAGCCCACUGCCGGUCUGGGGUUCUGGCUGCCGGCCCCUUGCCAGCCAGGUUCCCGGCCCCAGGCCCCGCUUAGCCCGCUGCCAGCCUAGGUGAACGGAACCCCAGGCUAGCAGCGGGCUGGCGGCAUAAGAUCAACAUUUUAAUUUAAUUUUUAAAUGAACCUUCUUAAACAUUUUGAAAACCUUGUUUAUUUUACAAUACAACAAUAGUUUAGUUAUAUAAUAUAUAGAUUUAUAGAGAGACCUUCUAAAAAACAUUAAAAUGUAUUACCGGCACGUGAAACCUUAAAUUAAAGUGAAUAAAUGAAGACUCGGCACAUCGCUUCUGAAAGGUCGCCGACCCCGAUCUAGCUCAUAAUGGUAACAGUGGCCACAGUGGCCCCUGACCUGUUUGGUCUGACUAGGCCUAGGAAAUAAAGUUAGUUCUCAUACAAGCA